rnacentral:snRNA from 1 species
GUGCUCGCUUCAGCAGCAUAUAUACUAAAAUCGGAACGAUACAGAGAAGAUUAGCAUGGCCCCUGUGCAAGGAUGAUACGCAAAUUUGUGAAGCGUUCCAUAAAAAA